ACCAGCUCUCCUCACCCUUGAUCUUCCUCAAUUUUGUGUGGGAAGCUUUGCUAAUUGAAAGACUCUUGAGAUUUGGGCAAUAGUAAAAGCUCAUCCAUUCCAUUUCUUGCGCAAUGGAUAACACAUCUGAGAUUCUAUCCAAUUGAGGUAAGAAAUGAAGAGAAAUCUUCUUCAAGGGUAGGUUGAUAUGUUUGAUCUCAUUCUCAGAAUCAAUGCCGCUCACUAAUCUGGUGACUUGGGAGCAAUCUUUAACUGUGAGCUCUUCAAGGCGGGAAAGAUUUGCUAGCAAUCCUGGUGUGAAAAUGGUGGUCA
rnacentral:misc_RNA from 1 species